rnacentral:tRNA from 1 species
GGGCGGUUAGCUCAGUUGGUAGAGCAUCUCGUUUACACCGAGGGGGUCGGCACUGUCAUCACCCA